UACGUAGGGGGCAAGCGUUGUCCGGAAUUAUUGGGCGUAAAGAGCGUGUAGGCGGCCAGAUAAGUCCGCUGUGAAAUCUCGAGGCUCAACUUCGAGCUGUCGGUGGAAACUAUCUGGCUAGAGUCCGGAAGAGGAGAAUGGAAUUCCUGGUGUAGCGGUGAAAUGCGCAGAUAUCAGGAGGAACACCGGUGGCGAAGGCGGUUCUCUGGGCCUGUACUGACGCUGAGGAACGAAAGCGUGGGGAGCGAACAGG
rnacentral:rRNA from 1 species